rnacentral:lncRNA from 1 species
AAACGAGCUCCACAAAAUUCCGUCAAAAACUUUCCAAACCGCCCUAUUUCGUGGCGGUUUCCGGCCACCACGACGGCGGAUCGAGGCUGAGAUGGGCUGGGACUGGAAGAGGGAAGUGUGGUGGUUCUAACGGGACUGGUCUUCCUUCGAUUGGUGGCCGAAGUUGAGAGAUAUCACUUUUGGAAGUCAGCUGUUCGAGCUGCCAAACUGCAGAAAAUCUGGGUUUUUAAAAAAACUGAACUUCGAAUGAUUUACGGUC